UGCUCGCGUUGGUGGCGUGAAUCGGUAAUUUUGGCACUUUAAUGCGGUCGGAAAGUGCCGGCCGAGGGGUCGAAUCGGCCUGAAUUCGGACUGAAAUCAUUCGUGAGUGUGUCAACUUGAUGUUCGCGAGUGAAUUACGCGUCGGCGGCUCGUAUGAAGACGACAAAGCGACGAACUUCGCAGGACAAAAGGUGCUGGUCAAGCAGCCAACAUGGCUGGGAUUGAACAAUUCGUGUUCAAGUGAAAAGCACGUCGCUCUCUUCUCUCGCCUCCUGGGGAAAAAGAGUUGCUUCAAAGCAGAACGGAGAACUCGUCACAUUUUAUAGUGUGAGUGAGUGCAGUGCUUUUGAGGACAAAAUGGAUUUGCGACGCGGUGCCGCUGUUGUUUUGCGAAACGACGGCGCCGAAAGUAGCAGAGGCGGCCGGAGCCGAGUGGGACUCGUUAGUGAUGGACUAAAUGUUAAAGUUCUAGUGCUCGAUAGUGGAUAACUAACGGAUCAUUUGAAAAAAGAUAAGCCAUUUGGAUACUUCAAAUUCCUCCAUGUGAUACAGAGGUAUGCCGAGAGAAACUCGUCACUCAAAGGAUUGUCUGGAACGACUUGAUCCUCUGGUGUAUAAAUCAGCUUCCUAAAAAUUAAGGUAAUAAAAGCCGGCUCUACGACCGCCGCCAUGCCUUUUGCUGGGGGUUCAGGCGGCCCGUUUGCGUCGUAAUGACUGCGCGAUCCUCCCGGUGUUGCGAGAGGAGCCGACGAUCAUCCGGCCUUUGUCGAGACUGACACUGUGUGCUCUGCUUGUUGCUGCUUAGCUCAUCAAAACACCACUAUUUGGCUUUUCUUUUCAGACUGAACGUCGCACACAUUGAUGCUAAAGACGUCACAAAAUGUGAAAGUUCAAAAAUUCUUACAAACAGAUUGAUGAAAUUUUUGCUAAAAAUGACAACAAAUUUUCAAUGCUUUCUAAAAAAAUUCUGUUAAAUAAAAAAAUAAAACUG